GAUGAACGCUAGCGGCAGGCUUAAUACAUGCAAGUCGAGGGGCAGCGCGGGGUAGCAAUACUCUGGCGGCGACCGGCGAACGGGUGCGGAACACGUACAGAACCUUCCUUCGAGCGGAGAAUAGCCCAGAGAAAUUUGGAUUAAUACCCCAUAGUAUAGCGGAGUGGCAUCACUCUGUUAUUAAAGAUUUAUCACUUGAAGAUGGCUGUGCGGCUGAUUAGGUAGUUGGCGGGGUAACGGCCCACCAAGCCUGCGAUCAGUAACUGGUGUGAGAGCACGACCAGUCACACGGGCACUGAGACACGGGCCCGACUCCUACGGGAGGCAGCAGUAAGGAAUAUUGGUCAAUGGACGAAAGUCUGAACCAGCCAUGCCGCGUGAAGGAUGAAGGUCCUCUGGAUUGCAAACUUCUUUUAUAUGGGACGAAAAAAGGCUUUUCUAAGUCGUCUGACGGUACCAUUUGAAUAAGCACCGGCUAACUCCGUGCCAGCCGCCGCAGUAACAC
rnacentral:rRNA from 1 species